rnacentral:RNase_P_RNA from 1 species
AGUCGGACAUCUGAUCGCGGGUCGACUACGAGAGCGACACGAGGAAAGUCCGGGCAACGCAGAGCGCCAUACUUCCUAACGGGAAGCUGCCGGUGACGGCAGAGUAGCGUGACAGAAAAUAACCGCCGUGUAUCGUUUUUUUGUAGAUUAUAUGCAUUUCGACAUAUUGUAAGAAUACACGGUAAGGGUGAAAAGGUGGUGUAAGAGACCACCGGGUCCUGUGGCGACGCGGGAUGCCGCACGCCUUAUGGGUUGCAAGGCCAAGUAUACCGGCAUUUAAGGGUUGCUCGCCCAUUGCCGGGGGGUAGGCUGCUGGAGCGGGGUGGCGACACUCCGCGUAGAUAAAUGAUCAGACGGCUUGACGUGCCUUCACAUCACAGACGUGAUGUCUGCGACACGUGCGGGAACUGUCACGGCCGACAUAACCCGGCUUACAGUCCGGCUCC